UGCGGACCCUGGCGGAGACCGCCCGCCCUGUGGACGUGGCCGAGCCCCGUGAAGGCUCCUCCACGAACUCAGGAUCCUGACGGCGGGUGCGGAGACCGGCUUCCCUGGCGGUGUCCCCGGCCGAGCCUCCCAGGUUCUACUGCAAAUUUGGAUUACUUAUUACCAGUCUGGUCUGAACUUAGCUAAAUCAGAGUUCUCCAUCCAGAAGCCAACCAUCUAUAUUAUAAUGCUCAGUGGCCAGCGGCAGGGAAGAGGAGUCGUGGUUUCAAAUGAUCGCGUGGCUAAAAAUCAAAGUAUGGAAAUGCUUCCCGGCGAAGCUCGCCCCUUUCCGCCGUGCAGCACAAACCGUAACUGCAGUCUGGAUGGCAUGGGGAUUGCAGAAAGAGUGCAAAUAAAAUGCAGAUUUGUUUCCAUUUCAUUCCAUUCCAACGGCAGUUAUUCAUAACAGAUAAUGUGCAGCCGCUGCAUUUCCCAGAUGCAAUGUGCUAAGGGUUUUGUGCAGUUAAAAUUGGUUUUAUAGGCAAGGGAAAUGCCACCAGCCCUGCAAAAUU